UAUUUGACUCACGCGGGAAUCUUACCGGGUCCGGACACACUGAGGAUUGACAGGUUAUGGGGCGGGUUGAAUUUCAAUCUCUUCGGGGAUUAAUUUUCUCCCACCUCAAAAAUAUGCUAGUCCUUUCAUGAUUAUGUGAUAGGUGGUGCAUGGCCGUUCUUAGUUCGUGGAGUGAUCUGUCUGCUUAAUUGCGUUUCACUAAAGGCGUCAUUAAUUUUUUGUGCCUGUGUUUGACCCCGCACUUCGGUGCGCGCGCGUCUUUCACACACAAUUACUUUGACGUCUGAAAGCAACGAACGUGACCGUAACCUCUUGUUGCCUUCUCUUCUCUUCGGAGAAUGCUGUUUUUUACCCUCGGGUGAAUCGCAGUAUACGGAGGCUUAAUACUCAGUAACUAGAGGGACCGCUGUUACUUUCUUUAAACCAGAGGAAGGUUGCGGCAAUAACAGGUCUGUGAUGCCCUUAGAUGUUCCGGGCUGCACACGUGAUACAUUGAUUACUUCAGUGAGUAUCUACGUAUUACUGCGCAGCAGUAUACGCGUGUUGUUUAUUGCUUCGGCAAUUUACUUUGCGCUAUACGCCGCCUUAACCUACUUCGAAAGUAUGUGGG
rnacentral:rRNA from 1 species